ensembl:snoRNA
GCAUGGAUUUGGAUUUAUGGUAGGUCCUACCCCAUGGACUUCUCAUAGUGGACUCCAUGCCAUAGUAACUUGACUCCCCGAACUAUUGGCUGACCUGGCUUGUAGUCUCAGCCACUGACUCGAGUGCUACAAGC